rnacentral:rRNA from 1 species
UACGGGGGGAGCAAGCGUUGUUCGGAUUUACUGGGCGUAAAGGGCGCGUAGGCGGCCAGCACAAGUCAGUUGUGAAAUCUCCGGGCUUAACUCGGAAAGGUCAACUGAUACUGUGCGACUAGAGUGCGGAAGGGGCAACUGGAAUUCUCGGUGUAGCGGUGAAAUGCGCUAGAUAUCAGGAGAACACCCGGUGGCGAAGGCGGUCUCUGGCGGUA